ACAUUAAACAUUUGACCUAUGGAUUAUAGACCCAAUAACAAUGUUUGUUUACAAUAACUUCCGGGUAGAAAACUCCUGUGUCCCGUACAUACAAUUUAACAGCGCCGAUCAAACAGGGACGAGGAACAACUGGAUAUA